AAAUAGAACUUUGCAGAGAGAGUUAAGAGGGCGUGAACCGUUAAUUGGCAAACGAAUCGGAGCCACGAAGUCGUUUCGUUGUUUAGCCUUGGACUAGGUUCAUCCUGAGAGAUACCUCUCAGGUGUAUUCCUGUGUCUGGCCAAACUCUGUAAGCGUACACUGCAACCAGUUAGACGAUUGGUCAUGGAACUAGUUGCUCGAGUGAGGCCUAAAAACCUCCACUUGGGUAGCGAAGUAUUGUUUGUUCAAGUUAGUAGUAGUGCUGUAGGCUCCUUGCGGGCCUAUUGGUGUUGCUGGACUUGUGACAAGUGAACUAUGACCAAAUACUGACUGGCAAAAUGAAAAUCGCCUUACGGCGUUUCAAACAAGGCUGCUAGCAGUACAUGUGCUUACACACUCAGCUAUCUAGUCUUUAAGCUUGGCAUUUUUAAAUUCAGACCUGCUUGCUACCAGUGGGGCAACUCCUGGUGCUUGUAUGGCUUCUGUCUAAUUGGGUGUCGACUUGGCUAAAUAUCGUCUUGGGUGUGCUACGAUAGAGUAUAUGUACUAGUUGGUACGCAAUUGAAUUGGCAGUGAGUAGGUCGGCUUUCCGAACGACCCGUCUUGAAACACGGACCAAGGAGUCUAAUUAGGCAUCGAGUCGAUCGGUCUUGAUAGGCCAGACUGAGUACCCUUGUGGUAUCUCGAUUGAAGGCGUAGAGAAAUCAAAUUCAUGUGAUCCUUGUGGGCAACAACAGCCCCUUGGCGCAACAUGUGCCUGUUCGUAUAGCAUUGUUGCAAAACAUGCUGAGCGGAGUCAGGAGAUGCCUGAUUGGGACCCGAAAGAUGGUGAACUAUGCUUGGGCAAAUUGAAGCCAGAGGAAACUCUGGUGGAGGAUUGUAGCGAUUCUGACGUGCAAAUCGAUCGUCAGACCUGAGUAUAGGGGCGAAAGACUAAUCGAACCAUC
rnacentral:rRNA from 1 species